rnacentral:rRNA from 1 species
GUGCCAGCCGCCGCGGUAAUACGUAGGGUGCAAGCGUUGUCCGGAAUCACUGGGUGUAAAGGGUCCGCAGGCGGGCAAGCAAGUCGGUGGUGAAAUCUCGUAGCUCAACUACGAAACUGCCAUCGAUACUGCUUGUCUUGAGUUCGAGAGAGGAUGAUGGAAUUCAUGGUGUAGCGGUGAAAUGCGUAGAGAUCAUGAAGAACACCGGUAGCGAAGGCGGUCAUCUGGCUCGAUACUGACGCUCAGGGACGAAAGCGUGGGGAGCAAACAGGAUUAGAAACCCCGGUAGUCC